UAAUUACUGCCAGUCUACAAUAUGACCAUUCUAGACUUUCUGGAGUAGCUAUAGAGAAACAGCAGCAUGGAGCAGCGUGUGGCGUAGUGGGCUAAGCCAGUGUGCCAGUCGUCAGAAGGUUGCCAGUUCAAACCCAGCCUCUGCACAUCUGUGGAUCCUUAAGCAAGGGCCUUAACCCCCAGCUCCCUGGGUGCACUUUACUCUGCAAAGAGCAAGCUGAGGGAGGUGUAAAGGCAAUUUCCCCACAGGGAUCAAUAAAGGGGUCACAGGGAGUCCAGAAUCUUUGCCGGAAACUACAGGCACAAGGCGGGGAAUAACUCAGGACGGGACGCCAGCCCAUUGCAGGGCAGACACAGUCACAAUUUGGAAAGUAUAAUUAAUGGACUGUGGGGUGGGGGAGGGGUGGGGGGCUGGAGAAACCCCAUAACAAGCCAGAGAAUCUUCAAUCUUGAGAGAACAUGCUCAAGUCCCAGAAGUGUGAGGCAACAGUGCUAACUCCUGUGCUACAGCACCACCAAAACAUUCAGUCAUGCGUUUUAUUUGUAUGCAGUUCUAAGCUUAAUACGCAGUGCACAACUAGAAACAAUUCGCUGACUAACCAGAUUAGGGUGCUGUGCAUAUAAUCGGAAGGUUUCCCAAGUCCCAGACUUGGCAGAAUGAUUUCACCGGCUUUCUUUAAAAGAAAAAUCCAUGUUACUUUUGAUAAAAGCGCCUGCUUAGUUAAUGUGAUGUAUCUGUCAUGAUUUCAAAUUUGCCUGCCAAUGCCUACAAAAAGAAAACAGAGGAAAAAUUUGAAACAGCUUUACGUUCAGAAUCUCUCUCAAGUUGAUCAUCAGAACGUAAUAGCUGGCUAGCUAACUGUGCAUUGGAUAUAUUUAUUGCAUGAUGCUAUAUAGAACGCCCAAACGUUUGCCAUUUUUAACGUGCCAUUUUGCAGUUAGAGCAACUUAAUUUAGGAAUUACCAAGGAUAACAUUUUGAUAUUGUUGUGUCUCAUGAAUAACUUUGACAAAUGAGCCAUACAAGUUGCUCUUGGGUGUUGUGUAGUUCAGUGAGUUAUGUAUGUAGAUCUGCAUACAGAAGGUUGUGGGUUUGAAUCUUGUGGCUGCGUGGGUCAGCACUGAACCCUUAUGAAAGGCUCUUAACCCCCAGAGUGCUGGCUGGCCCUGCAGUUUAAACCUUCAUCUGUCAUGUAGCGCAAGAUGGUGUUUGUGGAAAAAACAAGGAAUGCAUCAGCACCUUGUCUCAAUAAAAUGCAUUUUACAUGA